rnacentral:lncRNA from 1 species
UACAUUUCUUAGCUCAUGAUUCAUACCCUUUCUAUUCAAAGGGCUUAGAGGUUUAUUUUUGAAAAUAUCAUAAAACCAUAGUGUCACUUACUCCUCAAUAGUAAGAGAAUUCCUACCAUAGCCAUAUAUGUUCAUACAUUGUUCAAAACCCUUCUAUAUAUGCUACUUGUACUUGUGUUGAGUUUAGUCAAACCUUGUGACCCUAGUUGAGAAUUAUGUCAUAGUCCCAAAAUCAAGAUCACACACACACACCACAUAUAUAUGCUGCUUCUACAUUGGAAUUACGCAAAAACAUGUCAUCCAUUUCCACCAUAUAGAUGCUCCAUGUUUUAAGGUUUAGAAUAUCUCUCUCUAAGUAUUGGUUAUAAGAUGAGACACAAAGGCUAUGCUUAGUAAAAAAAAGUGGGCACAUGAAGGUCCAUUGCUUUUGAAAAAACAGAAAAGAAAAAAAUGCUAGCCAUGUAUCAAAUAAAAUAGAGAGAGAUCUUAUCAAAUAUAGGAGCAUUCUAUUCUAAUAAUUUUUCACACACUUACACAUCUU